GACGGGGCCCGCACAAGCGGUGGAGCAUGUGGUUUAAUUCGAAGCAACGCGAAGAACCUUGCCAGGUCUUGACAUCCCCUGACAACCGAGAGAUCGGGCGUUCCCCUUCGGGGGACAGGGUGACAGGUGGUGCAUGGUUGUCGUCAGCUCGUGUCGUGAGAUGUUGGGUUAAGUCCCGCAACGAGCGCAACCCUCGACCUUAGUUGCCAGCAUUCAGUUGGGCACUCUAAGGUGACUGCCGGCUAAAAGUCGGAGGAAGGUGGGGAUGACGUCAAAUCAUCAUGCCCCUUAUGACCUGGGCUACACACGUGCUACAAUGGGCGGUACAAAGGGUCGCGAACCCGCGAGGGGGAGCCAAUCCCAAACGGCCUCUCAGUUCGGAUAGUAGUCUGCAACUCGACUACUUGAAGUCGGAAUCGCUAGUAAUGGCGGAUCAGCAUGCCGCCGUGAAUACGUUCCCGGGUCUU
rnacentral:rRNA from 1 species